rnacentral:rRNA from 1 species
UACGAAGGGGGCUAGCGUUGUUCGGAAUUACUGGGCGUAAAGGGCGCGUAGGCGGUGUGUCAAGUCAGGCGUGAAAGCCCCGGGCUCAACCUGGGAACAGCGCUUGAGACUGGCACGCUCGAGUUCGGGAGAGGAUGGUGGAAUUCCCAGUGUAGAGGUGAAAUUCGUAGAUAUUGGGAAGAACACCGAUGGCGAAGGCAGCCAUCUGGACCGACACUGACGCUGAGACACGAAAGCGUGGGGAGCAAACGGG